AUAGAAAUAUUUAAUAGAGGUUAAUUCCAUAGAAAACCAGCUGCCCCUGGGGAGUAUGUUUUGCCUAUAUCACUUCUGUCAGCCAUACUGAAUAUCUGCUUUCAUGGCUGAGGUGGAGCCCACAGCGGGCCAGAGACCUCUAUCCUGCUCCUCCUCAGGCUUCCAGAAGGUUCCAGAAGGUUCUGGAAAGCCCAGUACUCCUUGAGGCCACCCCCAAAAGGGCCAUCUCUUUUGGUUCAGGAUUUCGGAACAAAUAUUCAGAGGAUAUUUUUGGCCUUACUGAUUAUAAUGCUUGAAUAUUAAGAAAAAUGCCAGUUAUAAGGAAAUUAAAAUUUCCCAGGACCAACUACUUCUGCCCUGGUUUCCUCAAAAAAGGGGACUAACAUUAAAAAAAAAAAAAGCAGAAAUCACUAGCCAUAUAAACUACUAAUGUUCUCUUCCUCAGAGUUCCUGCCAGACCUUGGACCUUAACUUGCUUCUGACACAGACUUUGCUAGAAGCUUCCAGAGCAGGGCUGAGCACCUACAGAUGACUGGAGAACACCAAAGGCAGGCCAGGUGGGAAUGGAUGGCGGGAAAAGCCCUGUGAAUCUCAAGGCACCACACAGGGCACAGAGGGAGACCCCAGGUAACAUGCACAUGGUCAAAAAAUGGAACAAUAUGAACAAGAUAGUAAGCAAAGUCUUACUGCAAUGCCCUUCCAGUUUGCCCCAGUACCAGCCCUGCCUCCUCCAGAUUUCACAUUUCAAGAAAAUCCUAGCACUCACCGGUCGGUAGUAAAAAUGUACCCCACGUGAUCCUUACAGCUUAACAGCA
rnacentral:lncRNA from 1 species